rnacentral:rRNA from 1 species
GACGAACGCUGGCGGCGUGCCUAAUACAUGCAAGUCGAACGGAGCGGCGGACGGGUGAGUAAUGCCUAGGAAUCUGCCUGGUAGUGGGGGAUAACGUCCGGAAACGGGCGCUAAUACCGCAUACUAUCAGAUGAGCCUAGGUAGGCGUAGCUAGUUGGUGGGGUAAAGGCCUACCAAGGCGACGAUCCGGAACUGGUCUGAGAGGAUGAUCAGUCACACUGGAACUGGGACACGGUCCAGAAGCCUACGGGAGGCAGCAGUGGGGAAGAGUGGACAAUGUGCGAAAGCCUGAUCCAGCCAUGCCGCGUGUGUGAAGAAGGUCUUCGGAUUGUAAAGCACUUUAAGUUGGGAGGCGUGACCAACAGAAUAAGCACCGGCUAACUUCGUGCCAGCAGCCGCGGUAAUAC